UUGACCCGUGUUGUAAAAUAACUUUUUCUCUCUACUUAAUUGAAUGAUACGUAGCUCUCUAGCGUAUUCUAGAAAAGACAAUGCGGACAUAUAGUCGAGAACACCAUUGUAAAAUCACUUAGUGUUGUACGUCCACCCAUAUUACAUUUGUCUGGAUGAUUUUUGCCUGAUUGUCGGAUGACAUUUCCCGUCACUUCUCUGGAAGCAUGCUGUCUUUUCAUGUCAUGCAGAGAUCGCUUCACAUUAUCACACAAUAUCGCAUGAGCUUCUGAAACCAACUUGAAAGCAGCAUAGCACCAGGAAGAGUAUUUUUAUCAGGAUGAAGCCAAUACGCAAGUUUGUCAUAGUGCUUUGUUAUGACUGUGACAUCUGCUGUUACCUCUACUUGCAGAAUACCGUACCAGUCCAAGUCUCUGCUGAUCUUUGUCUCUGCUGCGCAAUACACUUCACAGACAGUUAACAACUGGGAUAAGUUCUCAAGCUCUGGAUAAAGCCUUUGAGCUUGACGGGCGCAAUCCUUCAUGCACAAGAAAAAUCUUUAUUUUGUAGCUUCUUUACAGCAAUUCUUCUGGCCCUUACGGCCUCUUCUCUGUUGCAUUCCACCAUAGU
rnacentral:lncRNA from 1 species